UGCUGGGAAGAGAACCUCGCCGGUGUCACACUGAGACUUCCGCUUCACCUCGCUAUCUUGCCCUAGAAAGGGAACUCGGAGGGGACUCACUGACGAAAGGAGCUCCAGAUGGCGGGGGGCCAACCUGGGGCGACCCCCAGCGCCCACUUUCACCAUCUGGACCCCAGCAAACCUCCCUGUGGCCCUUGGUCCCGUCUUCAGCAGCUCCUUCUGGGGUCCCACACCUUCGGAGCCCGGCCCUGCCCCUGAGUCUCUGGAGAGAGCGAGUCAGCAGUUCGCCGCCGCGGGGCUCCCGUUUGCCUAGCACGCCAGUUUCUGUCCAGUUUCACCCCAAAUCCCCACCUCCCCCCACCCCCGAACCUCACGGCCACCCUGGGAAGGAGGCUUGACUUGUGACAUCCACCCCUCUUCACGGCUGAGGAACUUUGGCCCCGAGCGAGGAAGCGACCGGCCCACGGCCACACGCCCGGAGUGGGUAAAUAUCUACUCAUGGGAUUGCUGGGCUGUAUGGGGGCAGCAUCUUCUACUAUGUGCAUCUACAUUGGAUGGCAGUGGAGCAACACAGAUUGUUUUCUGACAAAAAUCAGCCAAGUACUAGGAGAGGCAGGACUUUAGAAGUGGAGGAGAUGGAGAAGGAAGCUUAGGUUACUAUGGAGUGUGCAAAAAGGUCCUGUGGAUUUAGAUACCACCACACACAAAUGGUAUGUAAUACUCACUUGAAGACAAAUCAGCCAGAGGGAUCUAACAGCAUUGACCCAUUCUCUGGUCUUCUAGCAUCCAUCAUAGUUUUGUGCUCCUUUUCCAUGAAACACAGCUGUUGUUGGAAGGUACCUGCCCAGAUAAGGACUGCAUUUCCUCUAGCAUCCAGAUGGGACCAAAUGACUGCUGGCCAAUAGAAGUGAGUGGAAAGGACUGACUCCAGUUCCAGGUUGGGCCUCCAACUGCUCUGGGCACGUCGAUGGAACAGAACACCACCUCCACCCCAAUACCACCAAUUCAACUUUACAUGAAUUAUAAGCGAGAAAUAACUUGGACUGUGUUAAGUCAUUGAGUUUCUGGGGUUUAACUGUUAUUAUAGUUAAGAAUGACUUUAACUAAUAUAGUCAAUGACAUCUAACUGGA
rnacentral:lncRNA from 1 species